rnacentral:rRNA from 1 species
UACGUAGGGGGCGAGCGUUGUCCGGAUUUAUUGGGCGUAAAGAGCUCGUAGGCGGUUUGGUAAGUUGGAUGUGAAAUCUCCAGGCUCAACUUGGAGGGGUCAUUCGAUACUGCCAUGACUAGAGUUCGGUAGGGGAGUGUGGAAUUCCUGGUGUAGCGGUGAAAUGCGCAGAUAUCAGGAGGAACACCGGUGGCGAAGGCGGGUCUCUGGGCCGAUACUGACGCUGAGGAGCGAAAGCGUGGGGAGCAAACAGG